rnacentral:tRNA from 1 species
CUAGAAAAACAGGGUUCGAACCUGUACUAAAGAGCCCAAAACUCCACGUACUACCUAAUAUACUACUCCCUA